rnacentral:lncRNA from 1 species
UGUCUUUAAUAGAUAGCAUGCAAAGCAAAUUAUCCACUUACUUAGAGGGUCUUUAGAGAAUUUGAGAUAUAUGGAUGAAGGUGGGUACCUAUCAUUUGGAGAACGUGCAUCAUUUUUUCCUCUAAAGGCCAUGGAGGCAUGCUUAAGUUGUUAGGAGAUAACGACUUGUAUGUUCUAAGUUUGUUGGAGUCAUGUGGUAGAG